AUCGAGAAAGCCCUAAUUUUCUAAUUAGGCAAUUUUCUAACUAUGUUUAAAUUACAUUUACAGAAUAAUAUGUCGAAGUACGUUCACACACAACUCACGAGUGUCUAAAGUGACAUUAUAAACAUGACAAUAUUUGGCACUUUCUCCAUGUACGAACAACCGAAAGAUACAGUGAUGAUACUGGUGAUGUAUAAGUUGUAAAUUGGUAUAGGUGAUAUUAAAGUGGGGAUGAAAGCAUGCAAGCUAAAAUGAGACAUGAAUAGUAAAACUGCGAUGUGUAUGACUCGAUCAAUUGUUUUCGUGAGGAUCGUGAAGGAAUAACCUGGGUGCGUUUAUGUGUGAAGUAGUGUGAUAUUGCCAAGACCUGGGUGAAUGCCAAUGUAUCGCCACCAAGGCCAAGUCCCAUGUGUUUUGCGUUCAAAACUAAGGUUAUGUUCUCAUCAGGCUCCAAACAUAACCGGGAAAGUACGUUUCGACCCCGCUAGCUGGUCUUGGAAGUACGUGCUCGCAUAUAAAUAUUCAUUUCUGUUCCUUUAAUAUGAAUUAUACAUGUCUGCGCGAAAAAAUCGGUUGAUUAUUUCGUCUAGGAAUAGCGUGAAAAUUGGUUGAAUUUGGUAUGCGUGCUUUGUAAUGGAUGAAAAUGAUAAUGUUCUCAUGUGCAA